rnacentral:rRNA from 1 species
CCUACGGGAGGCAGCAGUGAGGAAUAUUGGUCAAUGGACGAGAGUCUGAACCAGCCAAGUAGCGUGAAGGAUGACUGCCCUAUGGGUUGUAAACUUCUUUUAUAUGGGAAUAAAAUGUUCCACGUGUGGGAUUUUGUAUGUACCAUAUGAAUAAGGAUCGGCUAACUCCGUGCCAGCAGCCGCGGUAAUACGGAGGAUCCGAGCGUUAUCCGGAUUUAUUGGGUUUAAAGGGAGCGUAGGUGGAUUGUUAAGUCAGUUGUGAAAGUUUGCGGCUCAACCGUAAAAUUGCAGUUGAAACUGGCAGUCGUGAGGACAGUAGAGGUGAGCGGAAUUCGGGGUGUAGCGGUGAAAUGCUUAGAUAUCACGAAGAAAUCCGAUUGCGAAGGGAGCUCACUGGACUGCAAAUGACACUGAGGCUCGAAAGUGUGGGUAUCAAACAGGAUUAGAUACCCCUGGUAGUC